rnacentral:SRP_RNA from 15 species
CCCCUCAGGCCAGGAAAGCAGCAGCAGCA